GACGAACGCUGGCGGCGUGCCUAAUACAUGCAAGUCGAACGCACUGGGGACGGGUGAGUAACACGUGGGUAACCUCCCAUCAGAGGGGAUAACCCUUGGAAACAGGUGCUAAACCGAUACUGAUGGAUGGACCCGCGGGGCAUUAGCGAGUUGGUGAGGUAACGGCUCACCAAGGCCACGAUGCAUAGCGGACCUGAGAGGAUGAUCUGCCACACUGGGACUGAGAAACGGCCCAGACUCCUACGGGAGGCAGCAGUAGGGAAUCUUCGGCAAUGGACGAAAGUCUGACCGAGCAACGCCGCGUGAGUGAAGAAGGUUUUCGGAUCGUAAAACUCUGUUGUUAGAGAAGCGGUAUCUAACCAGAAAGCCACGGCUAACUACGUGCCAACAGCCGCGGUAAUUC
rnacentral:rRNA from 1 species